UUAGCGGCGGACGGGUGAGUAACACGUGGAUAACCUACCUAUAAGACUGGGAUAACUUCGGGAAACCGGAGCUAAUACCGGAUAAUAUUUUGAACCGCAUGGUUCAAAAGUAAAAGACGGUCUUGCUGUCACUUAUAGAUGGAUACGCGCUGCAUUAGCUAGUUGGUAAGGUAACGGCCUACCAAGGCAACGAUGCAUAGCCGACCUGAGAGGGUGUACGGCCACAUUGGGACUGAGACACGGCCCAG
rnacentral:rRNA from 1 species